rnacentral:lncRNA from 10 species
GGGAUUACAGGCAUCCGCCACUACGCCAGCUAAUUUUUUUGUAUUUUUAGUAGAGACGAGGUUUCAUCUUGUUGGCCAGGCUGGUCUUGAACUCCUGACCUCAAGUGAUCCGUCAGUCUCAGCCUCCCAGAAUGCCUGAAGGUUAGCUUUUAAGUGUUGGUUACUUUAUCUCCUCAGUAGCUAGAUCAGGGUCCAGGUGGUCAGGAUUCAGUCAAAAGCAAGUGAUUAAGGAGACUCCUCUGGGGACUUUGCGAUGGAGAGGCAGGAGGGGCCACGAGCGGGGGUGGGGAAGAGAAGAGGGCACAGAGGCCAGCGGAUGAGAGAGACACCAGGGAGCCUGGGAUGCCUGCCCGAGGCUCUGGCCACGCCCAUGCCCUGCCUGUCCCGCUAAGAGACGAGAAGUCUUGCCAUGUUGCCCGGGUUGGUCUCCAACUCUUGGGCUCAAGACAUCCUCCUGCUUCAGGCUCCCUCAGUGCUGAGAUUUCAGCACACAGAGGAAAGGCCAUGUGAGGACACAGCAAGAAGGCGGCCAUCUGCAAGCCAAGAAGAGAGUCCUCACCAGGAACCAACUCUGCUGACACCUUGCUGUUGGACUUCCAGCCUCUAUAAAUGUUCACAAGCACACCACUGUUUACACCCAUCUAGAAGGCCCCUCCCAGCUGACAUCUUUCUGCCUACCUUUCAGGAAGACAGACGAAACUCUCUGCCUUCAGGUGGGGCAAGACUGCUGAUGGCUGGAACAGGAGCUUGGCACCUCCACCCUGACCCAGACACAAGCCUGUCUGUCCCACUCAAAUCGAGCUGGCCAGAGACUACAACUGUGUUGGUUCCCAAGACAUAGAAAAGCCAGAAGAGGUCGGGCGCAGUGGCUCACGCCUGUCAGCACUUUGGGAAGCCGAGGCAGGCAGAUUACCUAAGGUCAAGAGUUCAAGACCAAUCUGGCCAAUGUGGUGAAACCCCAUCUCUACUAAAAAUACAAAAAUUAGCUGGGUGUGGUGGUGCACCUACAGGCCCAGCUACUCGGGCGGCUGAGGCAGGAGAAUCGCUGGAAUCCAGGAGGCAGAGGUUGCAGUGAGCCGGUAUCACGCCACUGCACUCCAGCCUGGGCGACAAGAGCUAAACUCCACCUCAAAAAACAACAACAACAACAAAACAAACAAACAGAAAACAAGCCAGAAGAGAUGGGGAGGAACUGGAGUGUGAUCUCCCAUUCCAUUAACCCAGAUCUGGGACUACCAGGUGGAACAUUCCAAACAUAUCAUUUUUUAUUUUCUCUCUCCCUCUCUCUUAAGGCACAUCUUCCAAUACUCUGCAGUCAUUAAGCAGAAUGAGGCAGGUCUGGAUGUGCUGAUUUGGGGAAGGUGUCCACAGUAUAUAAUUAACUGGAAAAAGCUAUCAUGGAACUGUGUGCCUGCAACGAUCCCUAUUUGUGAAAGUAAAAGGAGGAUAUUCGUAUCGACUCUGGUGUGCAAAUAGAAAAUGCCAGGGCGGAUACACCGGGCAGCUCUUAGCAGAGCUAUAUUAGGGGGAAGGGAGGAGCUGAGAGAGAGACUCCAUUCAAUAUGCUCCCCCUCCGAUAGGGUUUGAAUUCCUUGCGUUUUAUCAUGAGCAUGUAUUGCUUUUCUAAGAAAAGAAAUCCACCAGGUGCGGUGGCUCAUGUCUGUAAUCCCAACACUUUGGGAGGAUGAGGUGGGAGGAUUGAUUGCUUGAGGCCAGGAGGUGGAGGUUGCAGUGCGCUGUGAUUGCACCACUGCACUCCAGCAUGGGUGACAGAGGGAGAUCCUGUCUAAUUAAAAUUUAAAAAAAAAAUUAGAAAGAAAAUGAAGGCCAGGCAUGAGCCACCACUUUAGGAGGCCGAGGCAGGCAGAUCACCUGAGAUCAGGAGUUCGAGACCAGCCUGGCCAACAUGGUGAAACCCUGUCUCUACUAAAAAUACAAAAAUUAGUUGGGCAUGGUAGCGUGUGCCUUUAAUCCCAGCUACUUGGGAGGCUGAAGCAGGAGAAUUGCUUGAACCCACGAGGCAGAGGUUGCAGUGAGCCCAGAUCGCGCCAUUGCGCUCCAGCCUGGGUGACACAGCGAAAUUCCGUCUCAAAAAAAAAAAAAAAGGAAAAAAAGAAAAAGAGACACUGCCUCUAAAAAACAAAUAAGUCUCUCUCUGUCUCUCUCUUUGUGUGUUUCUCUCACGCCUGUGGAUUCUGUUUCUCUGGAGAACCCUGACUAACACAGCAGAACUUUACAAAUUGUCUCUCUAGUCUGCAGCUACCCAUUUUAUAGAUGAGAAAACUGAGGCCCAGGGAGGGGAAUGGCUGCUCA